AAUCGGGCUAUUACACGGCCAGUGAGAUGGUUGGGGAUAAACUUCAUCAACGAGAGGGAAAUAGCCUAGAUCACUAGUUAUGGCCCCUAAAUUACCGUUCAAUAAUAAAGAAGGUAGGGGUGCAGAUAUAGCCAAGACGUUUUCCUAUAAGUAGCCACCCUUGAAAAAGUACAUAAUAGCUCACUGGUCGAGCGAUCUUGCACCAAAUAUGAAUGGGCUAAGUGAUCUACCAAAGCUAUGGGAUGUAAAAAUGCAUCAGUU
rnacentral:ncRNA from 1 species